rnacentral:rRNA from 1 species
UACGGAAGGCAGCAGUGGGGAAUAUUGCACAAUGGGCGCAAGCCUGAUGCAGCCAUGCCGCGUGUAUGAAGAAGGCCUUCGGGUUGUAAAGUACUUUCAGCGGGGAGGAAGGCGGUGAAGUUAAUAGCUUCACCGAUUGACGUUACCCGCAGAAGAAGCACCGGCUAACUCCGUGCCAGCAGCCGCGGUAAUACGGAGGGUGCAAGCGUUAAUCGGAAUUACUGGGCGUAAAGCGCACGCAGGCGGUCUGUCAAGUCGGGAUGUGAAAUCCCCCGGGCUUAACCUGGGAACUGCAUUCGAAACUGGCAGGCUAGAGUCUUGUAGAGGGGGUAGAAAUUCCAGGUGUAGCGGUGAAAUGCGUAGAGAUCUGGAGGAAUACCGGUGGCGAAAGGCGGCCCCCUGGGACAAAAGACUGACGCUCAGGUGCGAAAAGCGUGGGGAGCAAACAGGGAUUAGAUACC